GGGCCGGUGGUCUAGCGGUAUGACGCCGCCCUUACGAGGCGGAGGUCGUGGGUUCAACUCCCACCCGGCCCACCA
rnacentral:tRNA from 1 species